rnacentral:lncRNA from 1 species
GCCUGUUGCCUGGUGAAUCAGCCUUGCCAUUCGCUCUCUGCUCUUUCGAGCACGGAUCCAGAUCGAAUGAGUCAUUCAUUUACUGAGCACAUGCUGGGUGCCAAGCACUAGGCUAGCAAGAGCAAGAGGACAAAAAUAUCUACCAUCCUAUGGCUUCCAUUUUCAUCAAGGUCUGAUUUUCUUAACUCUACUACGGUAAGAAGAUGCCCUCCAUCAGCAGGCCGUGUCUGCUGGGACCUCUCUGGAGACUUCCUGAACCCUGUGGAUUUACAGUAAGAUGCAGUUUCCUGGGGAGUAAUUCUGGUGGAUACAAAUUCCGGAGUAUUACACCUGGCUUGCCUGGAGAUGUUACAAGUAGCUGGAUGGAUUCUUCAGCCUGGAUGCCCACUGAAAACAAGGACCGAAACUAAGAGGAUUGUAUCUCUACCCUUGACUCAAUGAGAAUGUUUGUUGUCAUCUCUCGGGCUACCUGGAGCUCCCUCUAAAAUUAUACCCUUUAAGCGUUCCAGAAGGAUUUUGAGAUCCUUUCCUAAAUCAAAGGUGGAAUAUUUGGGGAUUUGGAAAAUUGAGAAGCCAGUCUCUCAGAAGAACCAGUUGUGUUACUUUGCUGUGAGAUGCCUGCCCUAAGAGAGGAGCAGAAGGUCGGAACGGGUCCUCUAAUGUGAUAAUUAG